rnacentral:misc_RNA from 1 species
AACCAUUCUCACCUGCGGCUAGACCUGCGGAAGGAUCAUUAUAGAAUCAAAAUAAAACGUGUGAAAGAAGAGAAGCCUCCCCCCAAAAAGGGGGGGCUACGCGUCCCCUAUAGGCAGAUCCCUUUCUCACAAAACCGCGCAAACGGUUUAUCCUUGUUUAUGAGCACUCCUGUUUCCUCGGCGGGUUCGCCCGCCGAUGGACCCAUUGUUCAACGCUUAGGAUGCAACCAGUGUUGUCUG